rnacentral:rRNA from 1 species
GACGAACGCUGGCGGCGUGCUUAACACAUGCAAGUCGAACGGAAAGGCCCUGCUUUUGUGGGGUGCUCGAGUGGCGAACGGGUGAGUAACACGUGAGUAACCUGCCCUUGACUUUGGGAUAACUUCAGGAAACUGGGGCUAAUACCGGAUAGGAGCUCCUGCUGCAUGGUGGGGGUUGGAAAGUUUCGGCGGUUGGGGAUGGACUCGCGGCGUAUCAGCUUGUUGGUGGGGUAGUGGCUUACCAAGGCUUUGACGGGUAGCCGGCCUGAGAGGGUGACCGGCCACAUUGGGCCUGGGCUACGGCCCGGCCUCCUCCGGGACGCGGCGGUGCGGUAUAUUGCACAGUGGGCGGGACCCUGGUGCGGCCCAGCCGCGUGGGGGGUGUCGGCCUUGGCGUUGUAUUGCGCUUCCGCCUGUGACGAGGCGUGAGUGACGGUAAUGGGUGAAGAAGCACCGGCUAACUACGUG